rnacentral:rRNA from 1 species
UACGAAGGGGGCUAGCGUUGCUCGGAAUUACUGGGCGUAAAGGGCGCGUAGGCGGCCUUCUAAGUCGGACGUGAAAUCCCUCGGCUUAACCGAGGAACUGCGUCCGAGACUGAAAGGCUUGAAUCCGGGAGAGGGAUGUGGAAUUCUAGGUGUAGCGGUGAAAUGCGUAGAUAUCUGGAGGAACACCGGUGGCGAAGGCGGCAUCCUGGACCGGCAUUGACGCUGAGGCGCGAAAGCUAGGGGAGCAAACGGG